rfam:Gossypium arboreum cultivar AKA8401 contig_26227_1, whole genome shotgun sequence.
UCCUUAAUAGCUUAGCGGUAGAGCCGUCUACUGUUAACUGACUAGUCGUAGGUUCGAAUCCUAUUUGAGGAG